AUACAGAGGGUGCAAGCGUUAAUCGGAGUGACUGGGCGUAAAGGGCGUGUAGGUGGAUAGAUAAGUUAUGUGUGAAAUAUCCGGGCUUAACCUGGAGGGGUCAUGUAAUACUGUUUAUCUAGAGUAGAGCAGAGGGAAGUAGAAUUUCCGGUGUAGCGGUGAAAUGCGUAGAGAUCUGAAGGAAUACCAGUGGCGAAGGCGGCUUCCUGGGCUCAUACUGACACUGAGGCGCGAAAGCGUGGGUAGCAAACAGGAUUAGAAACCCUAGUAGUCC
rnacentral:rRNA from 1 species